rnacentral:rRNA from 1 species
AGUUGGUAAGGUAACGGCUUACCAAGGCGACGAUGUUUAGGGGACCUGAGAGGGUUGUCCCCCACACUGGUACUGAGACACGGACCAGACCCCUACGGGAGGCAGCAGUGAGGAAUAUUGGUCAAUGGGCGCAAGCCUGAACCAGCCAUCCCGCGUGAAGGAAGAAUGCGCUACGCGUUGUAAACUUCUUUUCCAGGGGGAGAAUAAUCCUGUCGUGACAGGACUUGACGGUACUCUGGGAAUAAGCAUCGGCUAACUCCGUGCCAGCAGCCGCGGUAAUACGGAGGAUGCGAGCGUUAUCCGGAUUUAUUGGGUUUAAAGGGUGCGUAGGCGGAUUGAUAAGUCAGUGGUGAAAUUCUACAGCUUAACUGUAGACUUGCCGUUGAUACUGUUAGUCUUGAGUGUGGUCAAGGCAGGCGGAAUGUGUAAUGUAGCGGUGAAAUGCUUAGAUAUUACACAGAACACCGAUUGCGAAGGCAGCUUGCUGGGUCAUUACUGACGCUGAUGCACGAAAGCGUGGGGAUCAAACAGGAUUAGAUACCCUGGUAGUCCACGCCGUAAACUAUGAUCACUCGCUGUUGGCGAUACACAGUC